ACAGAGAGACAGACAGAGAGACAGAGAGACAGACAGACCAUUCCAAACAGGUAGGACCGUGGUAACACCAAAGAAGAAGAGUGUUUUGCCAGAAACUUCUGUUCCGGAGCUGGGAGUGUUUGCGGGAGUUCGGGAGUCGCUCUCAGCUCAAACUUAACAUAUCUUUCAGACCUGUCCUUUUGAAAAUGUCGGACAGCAGGCUCAUUUUUUCUGGAGCUUUCUCUCGGAGAGGUUCACCUCCGCCGCGGUAGAGGUGGAGACCAUUAUGGUGGCGUAUCAAGAAGAAAACAAGAAAACAAACUCCGCACCGUGCUCAGCUCCGAGAUUCAUCUGCAGAAGAUAGAUGUUGGUGUAUGCACCAGAGCAACCACAGAUGUCAGUGAGCAGCCACCUGAGCCAGGCACUGAGGCCGACCACGAAAUUUCAGACACGCCGGCUAAAAAACCUAAAGUAGAGCCAAUUGAUUUGGUCGUGGGUUUAGGAUCAGAACCAAAACAGGUCUUUGACUAAGGUCUACCAAUAGGAAGGCCACCACUGAAAAUGAGCCCCCACUGACGAGGCAGAGAGGUGGAGAGGACCUGAUGCCAGCACCAACUCUGGUCCAUCAACCCUGGAGUCAGUGAUCGUGGUCGACAGCUCCAGUGACGAGCGCACGGUGUUAUCAGGCCACACCAGCACAGAUGAUAAAUGGGAGGGCACAAGGGAUUCCCUUGGAGGUGCUGCUCAUGCAGAAAGCCGCAGGCGAACAAGUGACUGUGGGAAGAUCUCCAGCCGUGUCGAUAAUGGACUGGUACGAUCUUGACCUGAUGCCAGCACCAACUCUGGUCCAUCAACCCUGGAGUCAGUGAUCGUGUUCAACAGCUCCACUAACGAGAGCACGGUGUUAUCAGGCCACACCAGCACAGCUGAAUACCAGGCCAAGUACUUGGAGCUUGAACUGGGUCAAGGAGGCUUUGGCUCAGUUUAUGCCGGCAACAGAAGGUCUAAUGGUUUACCAAGGCGCUGGAGGAGAACCCAUCAAGACGAGGAAGUCCCUCUUCGCUGCCAUUGGGAGGAGGAGGAGGCGGCGACUGGCAGUUCUGGUCUGUCCCUGAUACAGCAACCCCUUCUUCAGAAGCAUCUUCAUUCUUGAAGUGUUUCUGCAGCCAGGAAGGAACGAUGCUCUGGACUUUUUCUGUCAACCAACGGAUGAUGGCUGACUGCUGAUGAUGAAACACAAAGAACUAUCAACUUUACACAUAUAUUUUAUUCAACACCCCCACCCUGUCAAGCAAGGUAACAACAUUUGUAAAAAAACAACAUUGGCCAUUGUGUACAACAAAUUGUCCAAAAUAAGAAAUGUGUGGACGCCAAAUGCCAUGUCAAGACGAUAUAAAGACUUCCACUGUUAAGACUAAGUUAUCAGGAAAGUGGAGUUUUGAAUAAAGACUGUGAUGGUGCAAACA